AGUGAACGCUGGCGGUAGGCCUAACACAUGCAAGUCGAACGGCAGCACAGUAAGAGCUUGCUCUUACGGGUGGCGAGUGGCGGGCGGGUGAGGAGUACAUCGGAAUCUACUUUUUCGUGGGGGAUAACGUAGGGAAACUUACGCUAAUACCGCAUACGACCUACGGGUGAAAGCAGGGGAUCUUCGGACCUUGCGCGAUUGAAUGAGCCGAUGUCGGAUUAGCUAGUUGGCGGGGUAAAGGCCCACCAAGGCGACGAUCCGUAGCUGGUCUGAGAGGAUGAUCAGCCACACUGGAACUGAGACACGGUCCAGACUCCUACGGGAGGCAGCAGUGGGGAAUAUUGGACAAUGGGCGCAAGCCUGAUCCAGCCAUACCGCGUGGGUGAAGAAGGCCUUCGGGUUGUAAAGCCCUUUUGUUGGGAAAGAAAAGCAGCAGGUUAAUACCCCGCUGUUCUGACGGUACCCAAAGAAUAAGCACCGGCUAACUUCGUG
rnacentral:rRNA from 1 species